CGUGGGGUAGAGCAGCCCGGUAGCUCGUCAGGCUCAUAACCUGGAGGUCGUUGGUUCAAAUCCAACCCCCGCAACCA
rnacentral:tRNA from 1 species